rnacentral:lncRNA from 1 species
AGGUUGCUCACCAGGACGAUAUGGAUUUGCAUGUGAAGAAGAGUGCCCAAAAUGUAGAGCUAAUGAACGCUGUAACAUGUUGACUGGUUUCUGUGAUGAAAAUACCAGAUGCAGAGACACAACUACUAUACAGACUUGUGCAGAAACAACAUUGAGUGAGAGAUGUCCUGACAUGAAUAAAUGGCGUUAUUGGAAUAGGCAUUGUUACUAUUUUGUAAGCAGAGCUGAUGCAGAAAAAACAUGGGAAGAAGCAAAUAUUUCCUGCAGUCGGUUUAGAUCUGCUGAACUUCUGUGGAUUGAAGAUCCAGAUGAUCUGAAAUGGAUACAAAAGUUUUUUCGAAAGAAUACAUGGCUAGGACUACAGGACAUAGACUAUGACAAUACUUGGACUUGGUCACAUGGAGACAAUGCAUCAAGGACAUUGGCAUGGUUUGUACAGUUUGAAAUGUCCCCUGGGUGAUGGAUGGUGGUACUGGCAAAGAAACUGUUACUUAAUAGAAAAAAACAGAAAAGUGACAUGGAAUGAGGCACAAAAGCUGUGUAGACAUUUUAGAGGCACAAGGCUGCUUCACCUAGAAGAUGCUAAUGAAAAGAAGUGGUUAAAAGAAAUGAUAACUGGACAACUGUGGGUAGGAAUCAAAUGGAAUACAGAGACAGGAGAAUGGCGAUGGUCUGAUGGAAAAAAAGUAAACACUAAAAUACCAUGGCUAAAUAUAGAAGGGGGCACACAAGAAAGCUGUGUCACAAUUUGCAAAAAUGAGUCACUACUGCGAUCAGCAAAGUGUAACGAAAAACUUUAUUUCAUUUGUAAAAGACCAGAACAUUUGAACAUAUUCCAGAAAUACCCAGGCUUCAUAAUACCACAAAAGCAAAACACAUUACCCAAAGUUUAUUAUACUUUCAAUGCUGCUCAGGAAGACUGCAUUUUUGAGAAAACUAUCUGUACUGGUAUAGUCUUGUCAGGAGGACAGUACAUUUUGGUUAGUGGAAAGGAAGUAUUUAAAAGCCUUGAAGAACAAAGUGUAUUGUAUCUGAAGUCUAGUAAGUAGCUUAAAAUAACUGUUACAUUGUUCUUUUUUCUAUGUCUAAUGUCCCUGUUCUCUGAAUUCAUGUUAUGAAAAUCAACGUCUAUAAAAGGAGAUAAUUGCAAACAAAAGAACCUGUGAAGGAAUUUGGAAGAGAAAAUUAAGAAUGCUGUAUUUCUCCCAAAUACUUGAUGCCUGUUUAAAACCACAGCAGUAGAAGUACAUUUUUAUAUCAUGUUUCCAAUUAAGUUUCCCAUGGUGGUUCACAGUAAAAUAUCACCUUCUUAGCAAAACCU